AAUGAACGCUGGCGGCAUGCCUUACACAUGCAAGUCGAACGGCAGCAUGACCUAGCUUGCUAGGUUGAUGGCGAGUGGCGAACGGGUGAGUAAUGCAUCGGAACGUGCCUUUUAGUGGGGGAUAACGUAGCGAAAGUUACGCUAAUACCGCAUAUUCUCUGAGGAGGAAAGCAGGGGACCUUCGGGCCUUGCGCUAGAGGAGCGGCCGAUGUCGGAUUAGCUAGUUGGUGAGGUAAAGGCUCACCAAGGCAACGAUCCGUAGCGGGUCUGAGAGGAUGAUCCGCCAGCCUGGGACUGAGACACGGCCCAGACUCCUACGGGAGGCAGCAGUGGGGAAUUUUGGACAAUGGGCGCAGGCCUGAUCCAGCCAUGCCGCGUGAGUGAAGAAGGCCUUCGGGUUGUAAAGCUCUUUCGGCUGGGAAGAAAUCGCACCCUCUAAUACAGGGUGUGGAUGACGGUACCAGCAUAAGAAGCACCGGCUAACUACGUG
rnacentral:rRNA from 1 species